GGCAGCUGAGUAGCAUUGUUAAAAUUAUCAGCCAUUUCUUCAGUUGUUGCUUGGUUUGCAGAAUUUGUAAUCAAAUCCCUUAUCCAAAAUUUAUCAGGUAUUUUCGAUAUAAAAUCUCCGGUCAAUUCUCUUUCUUUCAGAAAUUCCCGCAACACCUCAUCUCAUCUCCAGAAAAUUCUCACGCUGGCACACGAGAAAAAAUGAAAAAGGGAAACAUAUUUAAAACGAAAAAUUCAGUUAAAAAAGUUUAUAUUAGUUGGGAAUUAAGCAAAAAUCUGAAAUGGGUACUUACGAGGAGCGGAGGUUUUGAGGGAGAAGAAUGUGUAUGGGGUUCUUGCACAAAAUCGACGGAGUUUAUAAUAGGCAGAAUGCUGGACGUGUAAUUUUGAAAAAUAUCCAAUUGCUGGAAGAGAAUUCAUAAUUUCUGUAAUUCAUUUCAGCUACUGAAUUCAAUCUUGUACAGUAAGCAUCUUCUUGUUAUCCCUCAAAUUCAAAGGUCUAAAAAGAGGAUUUUG
rnacentral:lncRNA from 1 species